rnacentral:rRNA from 1 species
GACGAACGCUGGCGGCGUGCUUAACACAUGCAAGUCGAACGGUGAACCUGCUUCGGUGGGGGAUCAGUGGCGAACGGGUGAGUAACACGUGGGCAACCUGCCCUCAGCUCUGGGAUAACUCCAAGAAAUUGGGGCUAAUACUGGAUAUGACCGCUGACCGCAUGGUCUGGUGGUGGAAAGAUUUAUCGGCUGGGGAUGGGCCCGCGGCCUAUCAGCUUGUUGGUGGGGUAGUGGCCUACCAAGGCGACGACGGGUAGCCGGCCUGAGAGGGUGACCGGCCACACUGGGACUGAGACACGGCCCAGACUCCUACGGGAGGCAGCAGUGGGGAAUAUUGCGCAAUGGGCGAAAGCCUGACGCAGCGACGCCGCGUGGGGGAUGACGGCCUUCGGGUGGUAAACCUCUUUCAGCAGGGACGAAGCGAAAGUGACGGUACCUGCAGAAGAAGCACCGGCCAACUACGU